UCUCCGCUAACGUCUGCUGCUCGUUGAUGCCCACGUUAAAAAGCACCGGGAACACUCGCAGAAGUUUGCCCUCCUUGAUUUCCUCCGGCAUGUUCCGGAAGGCCGGGCCCGGCAGCGGGACCUCCACCGUCAAGUGGUCCCUGGAAGGAGCAGAGGAUCAGCUGCCUGACUGAAAACCACGUCCCUCCUCUGCUGCAGAAGGAAGCCCUGUGGAAUGCUGCAGGCCGCCUCCUGCAGGAGAACAAAAGUCACGGCCCUCUUGGCUUUGUCCACCACCUCCGUCACGCACUCCUUCAACCGGGCCACCAGGGGGCACAGCUGCUCCCGCCAGUCACCUGUGCCACGACAAAAACAGGAGUCUCACGAUGACGUCGGGGCUACUUGCGCCAAUAUUUCAAAAAAUUCCCACAGAAAUAAAAAUUUGGCCUUUUGA